UAACAAAAUGACUGAGAAUAGUGGUAGACUGUAAAUCUAUAAAUGAAUAAAAUCUUUUGUUAA
rnacentral:tRNA from 1 species